rnacentral:rRNA from 1 species
CGGGGUGAGUAAUGUCUGGGAAACUGCCUGAUGGAGGGGGAUAACUACUGGAAACGGUAGCUAAUACCGCAUAAUGUCGCAAGACCAAAGAGGGGGACCUUCGGGCCUCUUGCCAUCGGACGUGCCCAGAUGGGAUUAGCUAGUAGGUGGGGUAACGGCUCACCUAGGCGACGAUCCCUAGCUGAUCUGAGAGGAUGACCAGCCACACUGGAACUGAGACACGGUCCAG